rnacentral:rRNA from 1 species
UGGGGUAAGCAUGUAGGGCGUGUCGUAGGUAAAUCCGCGGCAUUUAAGCCUGAGAUGUGAUGCCGAGCCGAUUGUGGUGAAGUGGAUGAUCCUAUGCUGCCGAGAAAAGCCUCUAGUGAGUGUUGUGGCGGCCCGUACCCUAAACCGACUCAGGUGGUCAGGUAGAGAAUACCAAGGCGAUCGGGUGAACUGUGGUUAAGGAACUCGGCAAAUUGCCCCCGUAACUUCGGGAGAAGGGGGACCUCUGUUGGUGAUGGGCUUUACGCCUGGAGCUGGUGGGGGUCGCAGUGGCCAGGGGGAAGCGACUGUUUACUAAAAACACAGGUCCGUGCGAAGUCGUAAGACGAUGUAUACGGACUGACGCCUGCCCGGUGCCGGAACGUUAAGGGGACCGCUUAGCUGACGUGAGUUGGCGAAGGUGAGAACUUAAGCGCCGGUAAACGGCGGUGGUAACUAUAACCAUCCUAAGGUAGCGAAAUUCCUUGUCGGGUAAGUUCCGACCUGCACGAAUGGCGUAACGACUUCCCCGCUGUCUCAACCGCAGACCCGGCGAAAUUGCACUACGAGUAAAGAUGCUCGUUUCGCGCAGCAGGACGGAAAGACCCCGGGACCUUCACUACAGCUUGACAUUGGCGUUUGGAACGUCUUGUGUAGGAUAGGUGGGAGACUGGGAAGCUGUCACGCUAGUGAUGGUGGAGUCAUUGGUGAAAUACCACUCUGGUCGUUUUGAACGUCUAACUCUGGUCCGUGAUCCGGAUCGGGGACAGUGUCUGGUGGGUAGUUUAACUGGGGCGGUUGCCUCCUAAAGAGUAACGGAGGCGCCCAAAGGUUCCCUCAGCCUGGUUGGCAAUCAGGUGUUGAGUGUAAGUGCACAAGGGAGCUUGACUGUGAGACUGACAGGUCGAGCAGGAGCGAAAGCUGGGACUAGUGAUCCGGCAUCGGCGUGUGGAAGCGGUGUCGCUCAACGGCUAAAAGGUACCCCGGGGAUAACAGGCUGAUCUUCCCCAAGAGUCUAUAUCGACGGGAUGGUUUGGCACCUCGAUGUCGGCUCGUCGCAUCCUGGGGCUGGAGUAGGUCCCAAGGGUUGGGCUGUUCGCCCAUUAAAGCGGUACGCGAGCUGGGUUUAGAACGUCGCGAGACAGUUCGGUCCCUAUCCGCUGCGCGCGCAGGAGACUUGAAGGGGGCUGUCCCUAGUACGAGAGGACCGGGACGGACGAACCUCUGGUGUGCCAGUUGUACCGCCAGGUGCACGGCUGGUUGGCUACGUUCGGAAGGGAUAACCGCUGAAAGCAUCUAAGCGGGAAGCUCGCCUUGAGAUGAGGUCUCCCACCACGAGAGUGGGUAAGGCUCCCGGUAGACGACCGGGUUGAUAGGCCGGAGGUGGAAGCACGGUAACGUGUGGAGCUGACCGGUACUAAUAGGCCGAGGACUUGAUC